rnacentral:rRNA from 1 species
GGUUAAGCGAAUAAGCGUACACGGUGGAUGCCUAGGCAGUCAGAGGCGAUGAAGGACGUGCUAAUCUGCGAAAAGCGUCGGUGAGCUGAUAUGAAGCAUUAUUAGCCGACGAUGUCCGAAUGGGGAAACCCGGUGCACUUUGGUGCAUCAUCAUUUA